rnacentral:rRNA from 1 species
GACAGAGGCCCCAAGCGUUAGGCGGAAUCACUGGGCUUAAAGCGUGUGUAGGCGGACGCCUAAGUGUCUUGUGAAAUCCCCCGGCUCAACCGGGGAAGGGGCGCCGAUACGACCGUCCUGGAGGAACGUAGGGGGAGCUGGAACUUCCGGUGGAGCGGUGAAAUGCGUUGAGAUCGGAAGGAACGCCCGUGGCGAAAGCGAGCUCCUGGACGUUUUCUGACGCUGAGACGCGAAAGCCAGGGGAGCGAACGGG